rnacentral:lncRNA from 1 species
AGUAGCCACUGGAUUUGCAGCAGAAACACUCUGCUACAGAACAAGUGUCUUGGUUCACAGCAAAGAGGACAAAGAAAACAGCAAGUUUUAGGGGGUUGAAUCCUGGAUUCCCCUGGCAAACACCAUUCUACUUUCCGUCUCUAUGAAUUUGACUACUCGAAGUACCUCAUGUGAAAUGUUGGUGCCAAAUGAACUUUUCUGGUUCUUCUGAAUAUGCCACUGUUGCUGGAGAAAUGUCACUGCUAGAGAACAGAAGACUAUUAUUCCAAAGGGUAUUUGAGACUGACUGAAUCAGGUCUGGAACAUUAUUGAAAUGAGACCCACAAAAGAAGAGAUACUGAGAUCAUUUGCUCCAGAAGAAGCUGGUUGCCAUGUCUUGAGGACAGUAAACCCUCUGGGGAGGUUCCUGUGGUAAGGAACAAGGGCUCCUGGCAAUAGCCUCUGAGUGAGCCACCUUGAAAAUGGAUUGUCCAGCCCCAGUCAAGCUUUCAGAUGACUGUAGCUCCUGCCAAUGUCUUCACCACAACCUCAUGAGAUCCCAAGCUACAACCACUCAGUUAAGUUAUGCCAAAAUUCCUGAUUCACAGAAAUUGACAUACAGGAGAGGUCACAGUUAAGAUCUUGAUGUUCUAUCUUGACCCAUAAUAUAGGAACUUCAUCUUUUGGGAAGCACCAGGGAGAGCUGCCUGUGCCUGGCAGAAGCUGCCCAUGCCCCACUGAUACCCCACAGUACUUCCUGUUCUGCUUAGUACUCCUGCUUCUUUCUACAAACAACUGUGAUUCUCUACCUGGGAGCUUCCUCUGGCCACAGGAGCCUGCUCACCUGAUUGGGACACCCUAGCAGUACUGGUGAGUUAUAGCUUCCAGGAGCAGCUCUCUUCCAGCAAAGGAAAGGGUUGGCUGAACAGUACUUCAGCUGCCUCUGCUAGUGUGUGGGGCAAUGUUAAGACAUGCUCCACACAGUAAUGCAGGGGUCCCAGCAAGGUGGAGCCCCACUUGUCCACAGUAGUAACUUGCCAGUAGAUGCCUGCAUUGACUUUCUUCCCUGCUGUGCCUUUCUUUCCAUUCCCCUGCCAGUGCUUCCUGGAAUCAUCUCCCUCAUCAAUCAUUUGUUCCUAAAUUCUGUCUGAGUCUGUUUCUGAGGAAACCCAACCUGAGUCAUCGUCCCUCUUCUCCCCUCCUCACAUUCUCUUCACUGGGGGAGGAUGGAUUGAGUUGACUGGCAAAUUCGGGAGAAGGAGUUUGCAUCGGAGUGCGUGACUCAGCUGAGGCUGGGCUCUGUUUCUUCAGAAUGAAGUGCAUUCAGAUUCGAUGUGUAUCCUGUCUCUGGGAAGCCCCAUGCUCUGCUCAUCUUAGCAUGAUUACUAAGGUACACUCUGCCCUUGCAAGGGGAAGGCCCGAGAUUUGCUGCUGGCAGGCUCAGUGGGAGUUGGAUGUUUUAUGUAACCUGAUUGUGGAUAUAGAUCAAUUCAUGCUUUUCAAUUCAGUCCUCUCUCUAAUAAACUGCUGUCAUAAGCC